AUUGAACGCUGGCGGCAGGCCUAACACAUGCAAGUCGAGCGAGCGGCGGAGGGGUGAGUAAUGUCUGGGAAACUGUCUGUUGGAGGGGGAUAACUAUUGGAAAAGGUAUCUAAUACCGCACACCAUCAGAUGUGCGCAGAUGGGAUUAGCUAGUAGGUGGGGUAAAGGCUCACCUAGGCGACGAUCCCUAGCUGGUCUGAGAGGUGGAGCAGCCACACUGGAACUGAGACACGGUCCAGACUCCUACGGGAGGCAGCAGUGGGGAAUAUUGCACAAUGGGCGCAAGCCUGAUGCAGCCAUGCCGCGUGUGUGAAGAAGGCCUUCGGGUUGUAAAGCACUUUCAGCGGGGAGGCGUUACCCGCAGAAGAAGCACCGGCUAACUCCGUGCCAGCAGCCGCGGUAAUUC
rnacentral:rRNA from 1 species